CCGCCAUUAGCUCAUCAGGACUGAGCGCCAGCCUUCGAAGCUGGUUGCGCGGGGUUCGGGUCGCCGAUGGCGGUCCA
rnacentral:tRNA from 1 species